CGCGUAGGCGGGAUGGCAAGUCGGUCGUGAAAUCCCUGGGCUCAACUCAAGGGGGUCGGCCGAUACUGCCGUUCUUGAGGGAUGCAGAGGAGACUGGAAUUCCCGGUGUAGCGGUGAAAUGUGUAGAGAUCGGGAGGAACACCGGUGGCGAAGGCGGGUCUCUGGGCAUUCCCUGACGCUGAGGCGCGAAAGCGUGGGGAGCAAACG
rnacentral:rRNA from 1 species